rnacentral:lncRNA from 1 species
ACACAUAAGGAAUAAAUCACAUCACAAACAAGUUGCAAAGAAAAGAACUUGAAUUUACUGAUGAAUUCAUCGGUAAUUUUCAUGAAGAAAUAGGAAAACUUUUGACAAUCACUCAACACAACAAUCCGCCAUCACAUGAAAACAACGACGCCUAUGACAUCUGUUGGACAUCUCUGACACCCCAACUGUAUGAUGUCCACCAGGUAGCGCGAGUGUCUUCAGGGACGUUCAGCGGCCAUUUUGUUCCAAGACGCAGCUGAAGUAGGUUGUCGGUUGUCACGCUCCUCACGAUGAAAAUUAAAAGGUGAUAUAGCAUGUAGAAACCAAUUUGCCAAAUCAUUCUACUCAGACUUGGAAAGUGCCUGUACUUUUCCGAAAUGGCGUGCCUCGUGUGUCUCGCUGCCUGUUUUUUGGCUUACGUCUCACCCCAUUCAACACGAAAAAGUACAACAAACACUUCUUAAACGCUGGUGGUUACCUUGUUGCAGCCAAAUGGUGAAAGGUGUGACGAAGACAGAUUGAGCCUUUGUAUGCAGCAUGCAGUUGUAGUGUAAUCCAGAAGUUGCUGUGCUGUUGUAGCGGAGCUGUGGCAU